CCUACGGGAGGCAGCAGUGGGGAAUAUUGCACAAUGGGCGCAAGCCUGAUGCAGCCAUGCCGCGUGUGUGAAGAAGGCCUUCGGGUUGUAAAGCACUUUCAGCGGGGAGGAAGGCGGUGAGGUUAAUAACCUCAUCGAUUGAAGGUACCCGCAGAAGAAGCACCGGCUAACUCCGUGCCAGCAGCCGCGGUAAUACGGAGGGUGCAAGCGUUAAUCGGAAUUACUGGGCGUAAAGCGCACGCAGGCGGUCUGUCAAGUCGGAUGUGAAAUCCCCGGGCUCAACCUGGGAACUGCAUUCGAAACUGGCAGGCUAGAGUCUUGUAGAGGGGGGUAGAAUUCCAGGUGUAGCGGUGAAAUGCGUAGAGAUCUGGAGGAAGACCGGUGGCGAAGGCGGCCCCCUGGACAAAGACUGACGCUCAGGUGCGAAAGCGUGGGGAGCAAACAGGAUUAGAUACCCUAGUAGUC
rnacentral:rRNA from 1 species